AGUGAACGGAUACUCUGAGAUGACGAUGAUGAUGAAGGGCGGAGACGGAAGCAGAAAACAGUAAUUGCGCAAAGAUUAAUGUAACAGAACCGGUUUAUUUUCCUGCUACAUUGUGGUUUUACACCACGACGUUUAGGAGGGAAACAUUGUUGUACUGCGCUUCAUUUUGAUUUAAUGUCUUUAGUUACUUUGCAGAUUGAGAUUAUUAUUACAUUAUUAUCAGAAAGGUAAUAAUUGAUUUAUUUAAAUAUUCAUGAAAUUAGCCCCUACGUCCAAAAGCUGCAACAUGAGUAAAUUACGUACUGAAGUACAUUUUAGUGUUACUACUUUUGUACUUGCACUCAAGUAAAAGUCUUAAUUCCAAAUGUAACUUAAGUCAGAGUAUUUAAACUUUUUUUUAUUUUAUUAUAAUAUUGAUGAUUUAACAAAAACUUUUACUCAAGUUCAGGAUCUGAGCACUUCCUCAGCCUUGACGGCAAGUCAGUGUUCAAUUCAGAGAUGGAGGAAGUAUUCAGUAGCUAUACAAAUACUCUUCUAUAAAAACACAAGUAGAAGCAGACCACUGGAUUCAAGUACCCAAGUACUCGAGUGCUUUGAGUGGUCGGAAGACGAGAUAAUAUCUAAUCUAGACCAUGUUUUACUUGCUAGGCUUUUUAUUUUCCUGUCAAGCACUCUGUCUGUAAAAAGUGAUAUAAAUAAAUUGUACAAAAUGCCAACAUUUACGAAAAAAUCUACUUAUUUGGGUGUUUUUUAUUGUCAAUUAAUAUCAUAUAUAAAUAUAUUAUGAUAUUAAUAAGAUGAUGGGGCAUUCGAUUGUCUGCGCGGCUCUCUACAUGUCCACCGCGACCCCGCCGCCGGCGGGUCUCGCGGUGCUAUCAGCGGUAACGGCCGUUUGGCGAUUAGCUAACAAGUGAGGUGCUCACGUGCAUAACAAAAAAAAGCACGCGCGCGCUUCCCGCCGCUAUGUAAACAAAGAACAGGAGAGACGCUCCGAAUGUCCGCGCGCACACGCUUCAUCUCCACGGUAACGUCAUCCUCUCGUAGCUUCAUGGUGGUCGUGAAUGUUAAACAUAGCUCCGAAGGCAGACGCCUGGAACUCUCUCCACGUCAUCUCCUUCUCCAUGCCCUGGUCUCUGGACAGGGAAAGUACUUUGGCAGGACAAUAAACGUACUUCUACCCCCGGGAACCCGGUGUGAAUGUGAGGGCUGUUUGGGCCCUGCUUCAGUCCCAUCCCACAGAAGCAACCCAUAGCUUCCAGCUCGUCUUCAUCAGAUCCUCUGCUGCUGUGAACAGGUCCACUGGCUGACGUCAUGGUGGCAGCCAGGAAGCUGUGGAGGAGGACCGGCGGGGACGGCUAUCGGCCUGGGGAAUGGCUCACCUGGUCAGAUGAGAAUAAAGAUGAAAUGAGUAUGA